rnacentral:rRNA from 1 species
AGUGAACGCUGGCGGUAGGCCUAACACAUGCAAGUCGAACGGCAGCACAGUAAGAGCUUGCUCUUACGGGUGGCGAGUGGCGGACGGGUGAGGAAUACAUCGGAAUCUACUUUUUCGUGGGGGAUAACGUAGGGAAACUUACGCUAAUACCGCAUACGACCUACGGGUGAAAGCAGGGGAUCUUCGGACCUUGCGCGAGUGAAUGAGCCGAUGUCGGAUUAGCUAGUUGGCGGGGUAAAGGCCCACCAAGGCGACGAUCCGUAGCUGGUCUGAGAGGAUGAUCAGCCACCUUGGAACUGAGACACGGUCCAGACUCUUACGGGAGGCAGCGGUGGGGAAUAUUGGACAAUGGGCGCAAGCCUGAUCCAGCCAUACCGCGUGGGUGAAGAAGGCCUUCGGGUUGUAAAGCCCUUUUGUUGGGAAAGAAAAGCAGCAGGUUAAUACCCCGCUGUUCUGACGGUACCCAAAGAAUAAGCACCGGCUAACUUCGUG